CGGGACGGUAAGAACGGGGGAGGGUCGCAAUCCUCAGCUCGUCCCUUUCUCCACACUGUUACCGGGAGGGGUGAGUCAAUUCCUUUUUGAUAUCUUUUGCUCUAGUGCCUAUUUCUCAAAUAAAGGCUCUGUCAUUGCCUUCAUUUGUUCUACAGUAAGUCUGUACCGGUUAAACAUUUAUUAUGUGACACUACCUGCCUUAAGGUUGACAACUCAGUGAACGAUGCACUAACAACAAAAAAAGGUGAAGUUAAUUCCUUAACUGAAGUUUUGUAAUAAUAACAAGAGGGGUGAGAGCAAGUAAUUUUUAGGAAUUUCCUGCAGAAUUUGUAGGAAAUCGAGAUGAAAGAGGCUUUUAGUUGUUACUACCCACAUCUGGCCACAGCAGAUUUCUGUGAUAUAACCACAUUCAUUGCAGCACUGCAGUGUAAAUCCAUAGUCUUCCAUGAAUUUAAUCUUGAUGUCAGUAAGAGGAAAAUCAUGCCCACCAUUAAGAGCCAAGAUUUACCAAUAAUGUAAAACAUUUUAGUGUUGAACAGAGAAAAUUACUGGAGUGACUGAGUGUUUUUGACGUAUGCUGAACAUCCUCUAAAACAGAGGGAUCAUUUAGCACUGAACUGCUUUUAUUUAAAAGGAAAGGAAGAAAUUAGAGAAAAAGUAGCAUUAUUUAUGUUUGUUGUUUAUUAUUUUUAAUGAACCGUUUUUUUGCUCCCCAGAGCUUCCAACUCCUCUUCACACCCCCUUAAACUAACAUGUUACAGAACAGUGCUUGCUAUCUUCAAGACUAGUUUCCGCAGAAACCUCAGACACCAAGAUGGUUGAACUGGGACUUGUCUGCUUUAAACUUAUUUCUUUUAGAGACAAAUAAAAAAAAAAAACAAAACAAGGAAUAGUACCCUCAGACAACAAACAGUGCCCCAGAACUAUAAACCACUGCCUCAAAACAAGGAAAAGAGCCCAGAACAGGGCAAUAGUAUCCCAAACAGAGCAACAGUACCCAAAACAGGCAAAUGCUGCCCCAAAACCAAGGAGCAUUUCCACAAAACAAGGUACAUUCCCCCAGAACACCAAGGAAACCAAUCAGAAUAACUUUUUUAGGCUGAGGGUUUUUCCCCUGCUCUCUUUCUAAAAUGUCACAACAAAACCAAGUACCUCCAGGAAGCUAGAAAACUGGGAGAUUUUCUCCUGGAUUUCCCAUACAUUUUAAACCAAAAUGUGAGUUCUUUGGAGCUAAGCCAUGUUUUUUGCUCAGUUUUCCAGCUCCUCGAGCUUGUCCAUGCAAUCUGGGUCCAGCCUCUUGAUCUUCGUCUCUGUAGAAAGGAAAAAAUGUCAGUGCAAGAAGGAAAAACAUCCCUGGCAAUGGCAAAGUGCCACUGCUUUGGGGCUGCUAAAAAAAAAAAAAAAAAAAAAAAAGCAAGAUUUGUAUAGAGGGUUUAAGUGAAAAGCAUCAAUUUGGAUUAGGGUGAGAUGUGAUCUGGGCUCCCACACCAAUUUUCAUCACACAUGAGGAAUUAAGGUACAAUUUUUGAAAGAUGUUUUAUCCCCAAAACAACAAACAUUUAUACAUUAUUUUAAUCUAAAAAAUGGAAGAUUUGAAAGAUGCUCUAUUCUAAAAGCAAGCAACAUUUGGAAGAUGUUUUAUCCUUGUAAGACAGCCCUGUCCCUUCAGUCUCAACAUUAAGAUUGACUGCAGAGAAUGAAGAAAUAAGAUCAGAUAAUUGAGGUUACUCCACUUGUUUUUUCAUCUUGGAAAUCACACACUGGUCUCUUUUUGUCACAUUAAGUCUCAUCUUUGGGAAACAAAGAGAAAAGGGGGAAAAGAAAGAAAACUGAGAGAAACAAACAAAGAUUGAGACAACUACAAGGAACAAAGCUCAUUCAUUGGUAGGUUAUUAGGAAAUUACAGGGACCGCUCCAGGGGGCUCACCCUGCAUUUUAUAACUGGGAAAAGUGAGAAAAACACACCUGGGGUGGGAAGGGUGAGGGAAUUGAAUCACGGAAUAGAAUUGUUAGAAACCCAUAACAGAACGUGGAAGAGGAGGCAGCAGGGAGAAACAUAGAGAAGAGAGGCUGAAAAAGCAGAAAACAGGCCUGUUCCUGGUAAAAUGGGCAGGUCAGUUUGCUUAGCCCUGCUUCUAAUCCUUGCAGCCUGUUUUCUUGUUUUAUAUGAUUAUAUCUUAUUAAAUCAUAUCUUCUUAUCAAAGCAUUUCUCAGCUCUGUCUCUGCAAAGUCCCUCAAACGCUCCCUGUGUUCAUUUUUUUGCCUUUUUUAUUUUUCUUUUUUAGCCAAAACUAAGUUCUAGCUACUGCAGAAGUGAAAACUGGAUGACCAAGUGGCGAGCUUUUAGUCCUUGGCUGCACUGGAGGAACAGGGGAACAAGGGAACAGGGGGCACUCACGGAAAUGCUCCUCUAUGCAGCGCACAAGGUGCGCGCUGUGGCUGUCCACCAUAUUGAAGGCGAUGCCCCUCUUCCCGAAGCGCCCUGUCCGCCCGAUGCGGUGCAAGUAGGUCUCAAAAUCUGGCUGCUUCUGACGGUUGAUGGGAAGGCCGAAGUUCACCACAAUUGUGACUUGGGCCACAUCAAUCCCUGAGUGACAGAGGAUUCUCAAAAAGAGCUUUCUACCACCCUAAAAGCCACCUCCCAACCCCUUCCGAAGGCUGCUUCUUAAUUGCUGUGCACAUUGGACAAGAUUGCUGCUUCACUUGCAUUUCUGAUCACUUUUUCUCUCAAAUUCCCAUUCUAAUCCCUCUUUCCUUGCCUUUCUGACCAAUUUUUCCUUGCAUUUCUGAUCAUUUUUUUCUUUUUGUGAUCACUUUUAACUUGCAUUAAUCAUCCCUUUUGCCUUUGAGUCCCCAUUGUGAUAAAUUCUUCCCAAUUCACAGAAUCACAUUGACAAAAGCCUCAUCUUUUGUGAUAAAGUUCUGCCUGUCACUGCAUGGCUGGAAACUUGAAGCAUGACACCUAAGUGCUUAAAACUGUUCAAAGUGAAGGGAUUUCCACAUGACAAGGCUCAGAGCAAAGGAAUUUUCAUAGGAGAUGCAAGCAGAUUUCCACCCUUCAGCGUGUCUGUUUUUGGGACUGACCUCUUGCACAGACAUUGGUGGUGAUGAGAACCUUCUCCUUGCCGUCACGAAACCUCUGGAUGACGUCAGCUCUCUGCACGAUGGACAGCUCUGCUGUCAGCAUGGCCACUUGGUGCCCGUCCUGAAUCAUCUUCACUGAGAGCCAGUCUGCACUCCGGCGGGUCUGCAUAAGUGGGAAAAGGCUGAACUUCCCUAGCAGUUCUGCAUCUGCUGGUCUCAAUCAGUGACCCUUCAACUUCCCCAAGUCCUUACUACCGCUCCUCUAGCUUAAUGCCAAUACAUCACUUUACCAAAUCCUUGCUUGCUCAGUGCCAGUCCUUCACAUUCCCAAUGCCUAUGCUCCUUUCCAUUGAGCCCCUGGUGCUUUGGAAUGUGCAGAGCCUCAAAACAAGGCAAAAACAAGCAAGAAGUUGGGACACAAAGUGCCUUUGUUAGGACACAAAGGAGCAAAAAUGAUGCAGCAGGGCAAGAAGUUGGAUCACAAAGUGCCUUUGCGAGACACAAAGUAUAAAUGUUGAGGAAACAGAGCAUGGUUUCCAUGCAAUGCCCACCAUGGCAGUUAAGUAAACGUGGUCUCAACUAUUAGGCACUGUUACCACACUGAGUUUUAAAUACUGUAUGCUUCCCAUCCCUCCCUUGCAUUCACUGUAGCAAUCUGUAGAGCCGCAAAGGUCACUCUUGGGUUGACCAUGCCAGACAGAUCACUAGUUACUCACUGCUUGCAGAUGAGAUGUACCUGGCAGAAGAUCAUGGCCUGGCCAAUGGUGAUGCUGCCAUAAAGGUUGCAGAGGGCCUCGUACUUCUGCUCCCAGUUCCUGCAGACAAAAUAGUACUGCCUAAUGUUGGUCAGAGUGAGCUCCUCCUGUCGCAGCUUGAUGAUGAUGGGCCUGGAGACAAUCUGCAGGGCAAAUUUCCAGAGAGUUUCCUUGAAGGUGGCGGAGAAAAGCAGCAUCUGGCAGUCCUUGGGGAGAGCCCUGAGGCAGAAGAAGAGCUUGUCAGACCUAGCAGCUCAUUAGCACUAAGGAUUCAUUAAAAAGAGGAACUACAUAGCACUGUGGACUCGAGUACUGACAGUUUGUUAGCCCAUGGAAUUCAUUAGCAUUGAGGACUCAUUUACACUAGGAACCUAUAGAUUAGCACUUUUUGGUGAAAAUUUUACAAUUUAACAAUGAAUGCAAGUCUUAUGGGAAAAAACAAACACAUUUUGGAGAAAGCAAGCCCUUUGUGAAAAAUCUUACCUUCUUCCUCUCUCCUUUUGCAUUUUCCCAUGCCAAAAGCAGAUUUCCAUGACUCACCUCUGGAUGCGGAUACUCUGGGAGGAGAAUCCCUGCGUGUCAAUCAUGACGUCAGCCUCGUCCAGCACAAACAUGCAGAUCCUCCUCAUGUUGAGCAGUCUCCGCUUGAAGCACCAGUCCAGCAUGGUGCCCGGUGUGCCGAUGACAAUCUGCUCCUCCAGCACAGUGCCUGGGGACACUGCCGGAGAGGGUGCAAAAGAAGGGAAAGAGAGGGGCAAAGGGUGCCAAAAAAGGGAGAAAGACACAGGCAAGUGGUGAGCAAAAGGGAGAUUGGUGAGGGGCAGGAAAAAAAUGUAGGAAAGAGAUGGGAAUGAAAACAAGAAAAGGGAUGGACAAGGAACAAGCAUGGAACAGUAAAGAAAUGGACAAGGAAGAAAGAAGGCAUGAACAAGGCAUGGGCAAGGAAUGGGCAAAGCAAUGUGCAAAGGGGUUUCCAGUGGGAUACAGACUCAACAAAUUAUGUGUUUCUGUCAGUUUGAUCAUGUUUGUCCCUCACUUCCUCAGCUCCAAAGAGGAGCUCUAUCACAGGUACCAAUUUUUGAGGUUGGUGCUUCCCUGCAGCUUUUUGAGGUUAGAUACCAGCAAAAUGGGUGUCUGUGUCAAAAAGAAGCCAGUGGUCAUCAGGGUGGCUCCUUAGCAGCAGCACACGUGAAUGCAGGCUCCUUCAGCAAGCUGUGCUUUAGGGCACUUUAGGGCUUAUGGAGCAUCCCUAUGUUCACUUAGGGAUUGCUAGCUGCUGUAAUCACUCAUCAGGGCUGGACUAACCUCUGUUGCCCUGCACAGCGUAGGUGACCCUGAUGUCAUUGCAGAACCGCCCCAUCUUCUCUGCCACAUGGCCAAUCUGCAGGGCCAGCUCAUAGGUAGGAGCCAGACAAAGGCACUGGGGAGGGGAGAGAGGUAUUAGGCAGCAGCCAGGCAUCAAAAAGCACUGAAAAGUAUAAAUAAGCAGCAACCAGGAAGCUGCAGAUUAUAACGAGCAUCAAUUAGGAUGUUUAAUAUUAGAGACUUCAAUAAACUGUAACCAGGAUGCUCAGGAUCACAGUGAGCAGUAACCAGGAUGCUUGAGUUUAUGAUGAGCAGCAAUAAUGAUGCUUGAGCUUAUGAGGAGAAGCAAUGACAAUACUUGAGACUAUAAUGAACAGCAAUUAGAAAAUGGAGACAAACCCAGAGCUCUGCCUGCAGACACCCCAAAGCCAUACAUAACAGGAGCAAACCCAGAUCUCCGCCCUCUUCCAGUGGCUGUGCCCCUGCUGUAUACCUGCGGGUACCUCUCAGCACCUUUCACUCUGCUCAGCAUUGCCAGGACAAAUGCUGCUGUUUUCCCUGUCCCGGACUGGCUCUGUGCAAUCAGAUUUUGGGGUCUGCAAGGGAAAUGUUAGCAGUAAAAGUCUGGGUCUCUGUGCCAGCACCUCACAGGGGAUGCAGAAGUCUGAGGCUGGUUUAUCCCUUCCUGCGAGCUCAGGACUCACGGAUGUGCCAUCAAGAUGGGCAGAGCAUUCGCCUGGAUCUUCGAUGGCCUGUUGAAGCCCAUGGUGUACACGCCUUGUAAAAGCUCCUUUUUCCUGUGAAAAAGCACAACCCGGGGCAUUGUAUAGGAACUGGGGUGUGUGAGGCCAGGUGCUGGGGAACUCACAGGUGCAGCUCCUCAAAGGUUCUGAUGGAGAAGAGUGGGGAGGAGGGGUCCUGCUGCAACACCUCCACGUGGUGGCUGUUCUCUACCAGCGAGGUAUGGAGCAGCUUGUUGAGCAGCGAACUCUCAGCCAGGUCUUCUGCAAAGUGGGGACAAAUGUGCAUUUGUGAAAAUGCACAAAACAAAUUCACAAAUUGAAUUUGUGAAAAGAAUGGAUAAAUUUGUGAGAAGAAUGUAAAACAAUGAAUCCACGAAAAAAGGGAUAAAUUAUUUGAGAAAAAAAGUAGCGUGAGAAAAACUGAUGAUGAAUUUGUAAAAUUCAUGAUAAAUUUUGAUGAAUUCAUGAUGAAUUCAUGAUAAAAUUGUGAGGAAAAAAAGGAAAAAAAAAACUCAUGAAGAAAUUGUGGAAGAAAAAUAUGCACUGGAUUCAGUAAAAAAAAAAACACCCCAAAACAACCAAAACCAGGAUGUAUCCAUGAAAAUUUCUUAGAAAAGAGCACCAUGAAUUUGUAAAAUAAGAGUAACAUGAAAAAAUGAUGACUUCUAGAAAAAUUUGUGAAGAGAGUGCAACAAAUUCAUGUAAAAAGGUGAUGAAUUAAUGAAAGUCACAAAAAAAAAGAAAUUUGAAAAAAUGUAAAGAAAAGUCUGAUUAGUUUGUAUGAAAAAAGAUUGUUAAAUAAUGGGUAAAUUUGUGAAAAGAAUGUGUAAUAGAAAGCAAUGAAUGUGUGAAAAAAAGGAUGCAUUCCUCAAAAAAAAGCAUGCUGUCAAAAACUGGUAACAAAUUUGUGAAGGAAUUGGGUGAAUUCAUGAUGAAAUAAAAAAACAAGUUAAAAUUCACGAAGAAAUUGGGGUGAAAAAAUGGAAUGCAUUCAUGAAAAAGAAACCAACAUGAUGAUACAAUCACUAAUAUGAUAUAGUGAUAUGAAAUAUGAAUGACUAAUAAUGAUAUAAUGAAAAAAAUGUUGAAUUCAUGAAAAAAAGUUUAAAUAAUUUUAAACAUACAUGAACUCAUGAAAAAACAGGAGAAAAAAUCAAUAUGUUUAAAAAUGAUAAAUUUGUUGGGGAAGAGAGAUAAAUUCGUGAAAAAAAAAAAGGCUGGAUUCAUAAAAUCUGUGAAACAAAGCAGUUUAUUUGUGCAAGAAAAUGAAAAAGUCCUGAAAAAGUGAUCAUUUGUAAAAGAAAAAAGUUUGUGAAAUAAGGGAUGACUGUUAAAAAUUUUGAGAUAUAAAGUCAUGUAUUUCUGAAUAUUUUCUGGAAAAAAGGAAAAAAACUCGAUGAGAAAUGAUAAAAAAGUCUUCCAUGAAUUAAUGGGAAAAAAAUGAUAAAUCUCAGAAAAAUUCAUAGGAAAAAAACCCAUGAGGUGGAAAAAAAAUCCAUGAUGAAUUUAAGAAUUUAAAAAUUGAAAAUUUAUGAAUUCAUAAAAAGCAAUAAAAUUCUACAAAAAGAAAGAGGGAUGGAUUUAAAAAAAAGUGUGGGGAAAAAAGCAAUUCAUUCAGAAAAAAAAAGAUAAAUUUGUGAAAAAUUCAUUAGAACCCCCCAAUUUUGUGAAAAAAAAAUCAUUAAAAAGAGCAAGGAAUUCAUGGGAAAAAAAAAAGUGAGCUUGUGGACAAAAGUGGUAACAAAAAAAAAGUGAUGAAUUUAUGAAAAAACUGGUAAAAAAAAACUAGAGUGAUUUUGUGAAGAAAUUGUGACACAUCAUGAAAAGUGUAACCAAUUUGUGAAAAAAGUGAAAAUGAAUUUUUGCAAAUUCUGUUUAAAGAAAUGAAUUUGUGUAGAAAAUGUGAAGAAUGGACAAAAUCAUGAAAAGUUGUGGAAGAAAAUGGAUGAAUUUUUUUAAAAAUUGUGGAAACGAAGUUGAAAAAUUCGUGAAAAAAAUGAAUUCAUGGAACAAUGGGUAAACUUGUGAAAAAUGUGUGAGAAAAAAGCAAUAAAUGUUUUAAAAAUAUUGAAAAAUACACCUGACUUGUGAAAAAAUAGUGGGAUAAGACUUGAAUUAAUGACAAAGCAAUGAAUCAUUAAAAAACUGUGGGGAGAAAAGUAGUAAUGAAUUAAUGGAAGAAAAAGAUAAAUUUGAAAAAUCAGAGUGAAAAACUAAUGAAUUCAUUUAAAAAGCGACAAAGUGGUAAAAAAGAAAUGAUGAAUUCAUGAAAUGAGAACUAUUUGUAAAAAAAUAUGUGUUAAAAAAAAAGCAAAUUGCUAAACGAAUUCUUGAAAACAGGUG
rnacentral:lncRNA from 1 species